rnacentral:rRNA from 1 species
ACGCUCGAUACCUACGGGAGGCAGCAGUGGGGAAUAUUGCACAAUGGAGGAAACUCUGAUGCAGCGAUGCCGCGUGAGGGAAGAAGGUUUUCGGAUUGUAAACCUCUGUCUUUGGGGACGAUAAUGACGGUACCCAAGGAGGAAGCUCCGGCUAACUACGUACCAGCAGCCGCGGUAAUCUGAGCGGGCUGGCAAGGC